rnacentral:rRNA from 1 species
UGGGGAAUAUUGCACAAUGGGCGCAAGCCUGAUGCAGCCAUGCCGCGUGUGUGAAGAAGGCCUUCGGGUUGUAAAGUACUUUCAGCGGGGAGGAAUGGAGUAAAGUUAAUACCUUUGCUCAUUGACGUUACCCGCAGAAGAAGCACCGGCUAACUCCGUGCCAGCAGCCGCGGUAAUACGGAGGGUGCAAGCGUUAAUCGGAAUUACUGGGCGUAAAGCGCACGCAGGCGGUUUGUUAAGUCAGAUGUGAAAUCCUCGGGCUCAACCUGGGAACUGCAUCUGAUACUGGCAAGCUUGAGUCUCGUAGAGGGGGGUAGAAUUCCAGGUGUAGCGGUGAAAUGCGUAGAGAUCUGGAGGAAUACCGGUGGCGAAGGCGGCCCCCUGGACGAAGACUGACGCUCAGGUGCGAAAGCGUGGGGAGCAAACAGG